GACGAACCGUGCAAACGUUAUUCGGAAUCACUGGGCGUAAAGGGCGCGUAGGCGGCUUGACAAGUCAGGGGUGAAAUCCGGCAGCUUAACUGUCGCAGUGCCUUUGAUACUGUCGAGCUCGAGGGAGGUAGGGGUCUGUGGAACUUCCGGUGGAGCGGUGAAAUGCGUUGAUAUCGGAAGGAACGCCGGUGGCGAAAGCGACGGACUGGAUCUCUUCUGACGCUGAGGCGCGAAAGCCAGGGGAGCAAACGGG
rnacentral:rRNA from 1 species